rnacentral:lncRNA from 1 species
GGUUAUAUUAAGACCUGAAAUUGUUUCUUAUUUAUUUUCCCUCCUCCUCUUGUUUGUUUGUGUAAUUUUACAAGGUGACUGCUGAAAGAAAGCUCACAGAGGAGGCUCAAGCAGCGCCAAAGGAGGAGAGAAACAGGGCAACUGGAGGGGAAGGUGCUCCACGUGCAGACCUGUUCUAAGUUAACAACCUUCCCAGUGUGUCCUCCAGAUAUUUUUUUGGUAUUUGCUCUCCGUGCAGCAAACCAACAGACAAAACACAGUCAGGACUGGAACAGGACUGAAUGUGCUUCAGGUGCAACUCAGCCGGGCACGCUCAGGUAUGUGGAUUUAGUUAUGUCUAAUGCUUUGCACGCUGGGAGAGUAAAAGUCUUGUGCAGACAGUAUUUGUGUGUGUCAGCUUUGAAAAUAGUGAAUCAAAUUGACAAGU